rnacentral:rRNA from 1 species
GACGAACGCUGGCGGCGUGCUUAACACAUGCAAGUCGAACGGAAAGGCCCUGCUUUUGUGGGGUGCUCGAGUGGCGAACGGGUGAGUAACACGUGAGUAACCUGCCCUUGACUUUGGGAUAACUUCAGGAAACUGGGGCUAAUACCGGAUAGGAGCUCCUGCUGCAUGGUGGGGGUUGGAAAGUUUCGGCGGUUGGGGAUGGACUCGCGGCUUAUCAGCUUGUUGGUGGGGUAGUGGCUUACCAAGGCUUUGACGGGUAGCCGGCCUGAGAGGGUGACCGGCCACAAUGGGACUGAGGUACGGGCCCGACUCCUAAGGGAGGCAGCAGUGGGGAAUAUUGCACAAUGGGCGGAAGCCUGAUGCAGCAACGCCGCGUGCGGGAUGACGGCCUUCGGGUUGUAAACCGCUUUCGCCUGUGACGAAGCGUGAGUGACGGUAAUGGGUAAAGAAGCACCGGCUAACUACGUG